rnacentral:rRNA from 1 species
AAUGAACGCUGGCGGCAUGCCUUACACAUGCAAGUCGAACGGCAGCGGACCUUCGGGUGCCGGCGAGUGGCGAACGGGUGAGUAAUAUAUCGGAACGUACCUUUCAGUGGGGGAUAACGUAGCGAAAGUUACGCUAAUACCGCAUAUUCUGUGAGCAGGAAAGCAGGGGAUCGCAAGACCUUGCGCUGAUUGAGCGGCCGAUAUCAGAUUAGCUAGUUGGUGAGGUAAAGGCUCACCAAGGCGACGAUCUGUAGCGGGUCUGAGAGGAUGAUCCGCCACACUGGAACUGAGACACGGUCCAGACUCCUACGGGAGGCAGCAGUGGGGAAUUUUGGACAAUGGGCGCAAGCCUGAUCCAGCCAUGCGCGU